GGCUAGACUGGAGGGUUAGGGGUCCUCUGUAAGCACACAUCCCCUUUGGUGCAGUUGAAAUCCAAAAGGCGGCUUUUUGAUAUGAGAAUGGCCUUAAAAAUUGAUAUAGAAACUUCGUCCUGCAGGAUUAAUGGUGGUAUGAUUUUUACUGGAGGGUAAAGGUUAAUUAUCUUUAUUACAGGAACGUGUCAGGCCCGGAAGGGAGCAGCUCUACUGUUUACAAUUAAUGCUUGUAGAGUCGCGGAGUGGAGUUAAUUUUUGAGAUAACCUUUUUUAUUGAUUUUUGUCCAC
rnacentral:SRP_RNA from 1 species